AUUGAACGCUGGCGGCAGGCCUAACACAUGCAAGUCGAGCGGCUCGCGGGACGGGUGAGUGAUGCAUAUGUAUCUGACUGUUAGUGGGGGAGAAAGACCGCAACCGGACGCUAACACUGCUAACUUUCAGAUCAGCCUAGGCCGGAUUAGCUAGGUGGUGGGGUAAAGGCCUACCUAGGCCACGAUCCGUAACUGGUCUGAGAGGAUGACCAGUCACACUGGAACUGAGACACGGUCCAGACUCCUACGGGAGGCAGCAGUGGGGAAUAUUGGACAAUGGGCGAAAGCCUGAUGCAGCCAUGCCGCGUGUGUGAAGAAGGCCUUCGGUUUGUAAAGCACUUUAAGUUGGGAGGCGUUACCCGCAGAAUAAGCACCGGCUAACUUCGUGCCAGCAGCCGCGGUAAUAC
rnacentral:rRNA from 1 species